CCCCGAAAUGCGUUGAGGCGCAGCAGUUGACAGGACAUCUAGGGGUAAAGCACUAUUUUGGUGCGGGCUGUGCGAGCGGUACCAAAUUGAGGCAAACCCUGAAUACUAGAUAUGACCCAAAAAUAACAGGGGUCAAGGUCGGCCAGUGAGACGAUGGGGGAUAAGCUUCAUCGUCGAGAGGGAAACAACCCAGAUCACCAGCUAAGGCCCGUAAAUGACCCCUCAGUGAUAAAGGAGGUGGUGGUGCAAAGACAGCUAGGAGGUUUGCCUAGAAGUAGCCACCCUUUAAAGAGUGUGUAAUAGCUCACUGAUCGAGCGCCCUUGCGCUGAAGAUGAAUGGGGCUAAGCGAUCUGCCGAAGCUGUGGGAUGUCAAAACGCAUCAGUAGGGG
rnacentral:rRNA from 1 species